ACCCGCCACACCAUGGAGGUGGGGUUUCGUACCAGAAAGCCGGUCGCCUAACCGCAAGGGGGGCGCCGACCACGGUGAGAUUCAUGACUGGGGUGAAGUCGUAACAAGGUACCC
rnacentral:rRNA from 1 species